GGGGCCGUAGCUCAGUUGGGAGAGCGCUUGAAUGGCAUUCAAGAGGUCAGGGGUUCGAUUCCCCUCGGCUCCACCA
rnacentral:tRNA from 15 species